GACGAACGCUGGCGGCGUGCUUAACACAUGCAAGUCGAACGAUGAAGCCGGAGCUUGCUCUGGUGAAUUAGUGGCGAACGGGUGAGUAACACGUGAGUAACCUGCCCUUGACUCUGGGAUAACUGCGGGAAACUGUAGCUAAUACCGGAUACGACCCUCGGAGGCAUCUCCUGGGGGUGGAAAGAAUUUCGGUCAAGGAUGGACUCGCGGCCUAUCAGCUAGUUGGUGAGGUAAAGGCGCACCAAGGCGACGACGGGUAGCCGGCCUGAGAGGGGGACCGGCCACACUGGGACUGGGACACGGCCCAGACUCCUACGGGAGGCAGCAGUGGGGAAUAUUGCACAAUGGGCGCAAGCCUGAUGCAGCAACGCCGCGUGAGGGAUGACGGCCUUCGGGUUGUAAACCUCUUUUAGCAGGGAAGAAGCGAAAGUGACGGUACCUGCAGAAAAAGCACCGGCUAACUACGUGCCAGCAGCCGCGGUAA
rnacentral:rRNA from 1 species